rnacentral:rRNA from 1 species
UACGUAGGGUGCGAGCGUUGUCCGGAAUUAUUGGGCGUAAAGGGCUCGUAGGCGGUUUGUCGCGUCGGGCGUGAAAACAUCCAGCUUAACUGGGUGCUUGCUUUCGAUACGGGCAGACUAGAGGUAUGCAGGGGAGAACGGAAUUCCUGGUGUAGCGGUGAAAUGCGCAGAUAUCAGGAGGAACACCGGUGGCGAAGGCGGUUCUCUGGGCAUGACCUGACGCUGAGGAGCGAAAGUGUGGGGAGCGAACAGG